ACCCAACUGACGAGUUCCAGAUAGGAUGAAACGCGCGUCCUGGAU
rfam:Schistosoma mansoni strain Puerto Rico chromosome 2, complete genome